UACGUAGGGUGCAAGCGUUGUCCGGAAUUAUUGGGCGUAAAGAGCUCGUAGGCGGUCUGUCGCGUCUGCUGUGAAAACUCAGGGCUUAACCCUGAGCUUGCAGUGGGUACGGGCAGACUAGAGUGCGGUAGGGGAGACUGGAAUUCCUGGUGUAGCGGUGAAAUGCGCAGAUAUCAGGAGGAACACCGGUGGCGAAGGCGGGUCUCUGGGCCGUAACUGGACGCUGGAGGAGCGAAAGCAUCGGGAGCGAACAGG
rnacentral:rRNA from 1 species